rnacentral:rRNA from 1 species
CCCCGGGCCUUGUACACACCGCCCGUCACACCACGAAAGUUGGUAACACCCGAAGCCAGUGGCCCAACCGCAAGAGGGAGCUGUCGAAGGUGGGACCAGCGAUUGGGGUG